rnacentral:ribozyme from 1 species
CCAAGAAAGUACAAAGCUAUGUCCAAUCUAUCUCCAACAGUGUAAAUAACACUGGAGAUCGAAAGCAGCGAAUGGAAGAAGAAAAAAGAAAGAGGGAGAAAAUCCAACAAAAGGAA